rnacentral:lncRNA from 1 species
AGACUGCUGCCACACUGGCUGGCUAGGUCGCUCUAGCACGCAAGUCUUGAAAUUGUUCAUUGUUCCUCUCACUGCCAGAAGCAGGAGGGUUGUUCUCUUGUCUUCACUGUGAGGGACCUACUAGAGGUCAGGAAGCAAAUGCACAGAAACUCCUUGGUUCUCCUUAGAAUUAGGUCUCCGGGAGCACUCUCAAGCUGGUGCAGGGCAGUGCAGCAUCGCCUGCUGUGACACUGGCUUUCAGGAAGAUGUCCACACUGUUUUAGAGUUUCAGGUCUUACAGUAAAUUCUUCAAUUUAUUUGGACUGUUCCACUCAUUGAAGAUGGUGUCUCUUCUCCAAGUACAUAUUUUAUCACCUUUAUCAAGAAUUUGAUGACUGCAGCUUUAAAUAGGAAAGGGUCACAAUUUACUCUGGUUACAUCGCAGGGAUUGUGGACUUCUGGAAACCUCUACUGAACUAGAAAGAAAGUUCUCUCUAGUUAAGGAAGGCAAGAUGGCAGGAGGCCCCUUGGUGAUGGGAACAUGUGGCUGGGACUCUUCACCUCUAAACAUUAUAGUGAAACAGAAAGAAGAGAAAGGGCUCAUACUUCUCGAUUAAGAUUUCCUGAAAUGUUUGCUUUGGGCUGCAGGAGCCAGAGCAGGAGGAAGAAAAGAAAGAGGAAAAGCACUAUGAAAAUGAAGCUUCCAGAUCUUGAAACCUGAUUUCUUCAUGUUCUAUGACUUAAAUAUGUGGUGUUUUCAUCAAUAAGAUGUGACUAUGAAAUUCUGGAGCAUGUCGUGACAGAAACAUCAACAGCUUAUAAUGUUUGAAGAUCUAUGGGAACUCAUUGAAUGACAGCUCCCAAAAAAAGGGUUCUUUCUCCUGGAAGUGGGAUUUAUAUUUGACAGCCUAUAAUGUCCUGGACAACUGCUGUCUCUCAUUACAGGGUAC